CACUUGUCACAAACCCGUAGAUCCGAUCUUGUGGCGUAAUCGGCAACCCAAGCUCGAUUCUGUGGGUCUCUGUCACUGUG
rnacentral:pre_miRNA from 1 species